UCCACAGCCAUAUCACCCUGCAGCCCAAGACUGGUUGCCCUCUGAAGCUAAGCAGGGUUGAGCCUGGUCAGUACCUGGAAAACUGGUAAAACUAGGUUGCUGUUGGAA
ensembl:rRNA 5S_rRNA 5S ribosomal RNA